rnacentral:rRNA from 1 species
GGAGUUAGCCGGUGCUUCUUCUGCGAGUAACGUCACAGAUGUAAGGUAUUAACUUACACCCUUUCCUCCUCGCUGAAAGUGCUUUACAACCCGAAGGCCUUCUUCACACACGCGGCAUGGCUGCAUCAGGGUUUCCCCCAUUGUGCAAUAUUCCCCACCUGCUGCCUCCCGUAGGAGUCUGGGCCGUGUCUCAGUCCCAGUGUGGCUGAUCAUCCUCUCAGACCAGCUAGGGAUCGUCGCCUAGGUGAGCCUUUACCUCACCUACUAGCUAAUCCCACCUGGGCUUAUCCAUCAGCGCAAGGCCCGAAGGUCCCCUGCUUUCCCCCGUAGGGCGUAUGCGGUAUUAGCAGUCGUUUCCAACUGUUAUCCCCCACAAAUAGGGCAAAUUACCCAGGCAUUACUCACCCGUCCGCCGCUCGUCAUCUUCAAAAGACAAGACUUUUGAAAUGUUACCGCUCGACUUGCAUGUGUUAGGCCUGCCGCCAGCGUUCAAUCUGAGCCAGAAAUCGAACCCUGA